rfam:TPA: Bos taurus chromosome 3, whole genome shotgun sequence.
UAGCUCAGUUGGUAAAGUAUCUGCCUGCAAUGCAGGAGACUCAGGUUUGAUUCCUGG